rnacentral:rRNA from 1 species
UGGCGGACGGGUGAGUAAUGUCUGGGAAACUGCCUGAUGGAGGGGGAUAACUACUGGAAACGGUAGCUAAUACCGCAUAACGUCGCAAGACCAAAGAGGGGGACCUUCGGGCCUCUUGCCAUCGGAUGUGCCCAGAUGGGAUUAGCUAGUAGGUGGGGUAAAGGCUCACCUAGGCGACGAUCCCUAGCUGGUCUGAGAGGAUGACCAGCCACACUGGAACUGAGACACGGUCCAGACUCUACGGGAGGCAGCAUG